AUCCAGCUGACGAGUCCCAAAUAGGGCGAAAUGCGCGUCAAACUAAAU
rfam:Schistosoma rodhaini strain Burundi genome assembly, scaffold: SROB_scaffold0001568